GAUGAACGCUGGCGGCGUGCCUAAUACAUGCAAGUCGAGCGAAGCGGGGCCGGGUGAGUAACACGUGGAUAACCUCCUCUAAGACUGGGAUAACUUCGGGAAACCGGAGCUAAACCGGAUACUUAUGGAUGGAUCUGUGCUGCAUUAGCUAGUGGGUAAGGUAACGGCUGACCAAGGCAACGAUGGAUAGCCGACCUGAGAGGGUGAUCGGCCACACUGGAACUGAGACACGGUCCAGACUCCUACGGGAGGCAGCAGUAGGGAAUCUUCCGCAAUGGGCGAAAGCCUGACGGAGCAACGCCGCGGUAAUUC
rnacentral:rRNA from 1 species